rnacentral:rRNA from 1 species
UGGGGAAUUGUUCACAAUGGGCGCAAGCCUGAUGACGCAACGCCGCGUGGGGGAUGAAGGUCUUCGGAUCGUAAACCCCUGUCGAAUGGGACGAAAGACUCGCGAGUGAAUACUUCGCGAGAGUGACGGUACCGUUAAAGGAAGCCACGGCUAACUCUGUGCCAGCAGCCGCGGUAAUACAGAGGUGGCAAGCGUUGUUCGGAAUCAUUGGGCGUAAAGAGCUCGUAGGUGGCUUAGUAAGUCAGGUGUGAAAGCCCAGGGCUCAACCCUGGAAGUGCACUUGAAACUGCAUAGCUUGAGUACGGUAGAGGUGAGUGGAAUUCCUGGUGUAGUGGUGAAAUACGUAGAUAUCAGGAGGAACAUCGGUGGCGAAGGCGGCUCACUGGACCAGUACUGACACUGAGGAGCGAAAGCAUGGGGAUCAAACAGGAUUAGAUACCCUCGUAGUCCCUGAGCGGGCUGGCAAGGCGCAU